rnacentral:rRNA from 1 species
AUGGCCGAGUGGUCUAAGGCGCCAGACUCAAGUUCUGGUCCUCUUACGAGGGCGUGGGUUCAAACCCCACUUCUGACAUUUCUUUUUUGUCACACCUCCUCUGGCUUUGCUCUGCGAGCCAAGAGAUUAACCAUUUUUAUACAUUGUUUUGGCACUGUCAUAGUAGCUAGGGAUUAA